rnacentral:lncRNA from 1 species
AUUGAUUGAGGCUAUUUUCACCCCACUUUCUGCAGGAAUGCCCGCUCUGGCUCAAGCUUUGUACCUGUAAUACACUAUACUUCCACCACACAUGGAAACACCCAUUAUCCAGACUCUUCCAAUCCAAAUGGUGAGCACCACUUGCCCCAGCAGGUCGUCAAUUUGACGAGCGCCCUCGUACAACAUACCAUCUUGGUGAACUAGCUCCUUGAGCGCAUCGAGAUGCAGCACGCCCUAGCAAAGAACAGCUCAGCCCGGCACAAACUGUGCGUUCGAGUAGUGUGCACUCUCGUUUGGGCCCUCGAGGAAACGUCUUCUCCCCCUUAGAUGCACAGAGAAGUGUUCAUUUCUGACUCGACUCAUGAGUCAGUGUGCAUUCAAGGUUGGGUCCACACUCAGACGAGCACUCAAGAAAUUCCAAGCGAAGCAUCCACACGAGG